rnacentral:rRNA from 1 species
CCUACGGGUGGCAGCAGUCGAGAAUCAUUCACAAUGGGGGAAACCCUGAUGGUGCGACGCCGCGUGGGGGAAUGAAGGUCUUCGGAUUGUAAACCCCUGUCAUGUGGGAGCAAAUUAAAAAGAUAGUACCACAAGAGGAAGAGAUGGCUAACUCUGUGCCAGCAGCCGCGGUAAUACAGAGGUCUCAAGCGUUGUUCGGAAUCACUGGGCGUAAAGCGUGCGUAGGCUGUUUCGUAAGUCGUGUGUGAAAGGCGCGGACUCAACCCGCGGACGGCACAUGAUACUGCGAGACUAGAGUAAUGGAGGGGGAACCGGAAGUCUCGGUGUAGCAGUGAAAUGCGUAGAUAUCGAGAGGAACACUCGUGGCGAAGGCGGGUUCCUGGACAUUAACUGACGCUGAGGCACGAAGGCCAGGGGAGCGAAAGGGAUUAGAUACCCUAGUAGUC